AGAGAGAGAUGGAGAGUGAGAUCUGGAGCCUUCAGUAAAUCCUGCAGCCGCUUCUGGCAACAAAUGGCCACAAACCGAUCAAAGGUGAAAGUGACGGUGAACCAGACAGAGCAGUCAGUGGCUGCAUAAAGCAGGACGGCGUGGAUAUUACACACGGGGACGGAGUACAGGAAAUAAAACUGUUCCCGAUAAACAAUGGGAAUGUGUCUCAGGAUCAGGUCGAGGAUAAUGACCAGGAGAUCCGCCGCUGCCAUGGCCCCCAGUCGAUCAGAGGAACGACGAAUAAUUCUGAAUGGAUCUUUCAAGUGGGAAUCCUCUUCACUGGAAGUUUAUCGUGCCUCUAUGUUCACAUUGAUUGAA